AUUGAACGCUGGCGGCAUGCCUUACACAUGCAAGUCGAACGGUAACAGGUCUUCGGAUGCUGACGAGUGGCGAACGGGUGAGUAAUGCAUCGGAACGUGCCCAGUAGUGGGGGAUAGCCCGGCGAAAGCCGGAUUAAUACCGCAUACGACCUGAGGGUGAAAGGGGGGGAUCGCAAGACCUCUCGCUAUUGGAGCGGCCGAUGUCAGAUUAGCUAGUUGGUGGGGUAAAGGCCUACCAAGGCAACGAUCUGUAGUUGGUCUGAGAGGACGACCAGCCACACUGGGGCGGAGAAACGGGCCAGACUCCUACGGGAGGCAGCAGUGGGGAAUUUUGGACACUGGGCGCAAGCCUGAUCCAGCAAUGCCGCGUGCAGUAAGAAGGCCUUCGGGUUGUAAACUGCUUUUGUCAGGGAAGAAAUCUUCUGGGUUAAUACCUCGGGAGGAUGACGGUACCUGAAGAAUAGCACCGGCUAACUACGUGCCAGCCGCCGCCGUAAGAC
rnacentral:rRNA from 1 species